AGAGUUUGAUCCUGGCUCAGGACGAACGCUGGCGGCGCGCCUAACACAUGCAAGUCGAACGAGAGAUGAGGAGCUUGCUCUUCAAAUCGAGUGGCGAACGGGUGAGUAACGCGUGAGGAACCUGCCUCAAAGAGGGGGACAACAGUCGGAAACGACUGCUAAUACCGCAUAAGCCCACGGCUCGGCAUCGAGCAGAGGGAAAAGGAGCAAUCCGCUUUGAGAUGGCCUCGCGUCCGAUUAGCUAGUUGGUGAGGUAACGGCCCACCAAGGCGACGAUCGGUAGCCGGACUGAGAGGUUGAACGGCCACAUUGGGACUGAGACACGGCCCAGACUCCUACGGGAGGCAGCAGUGGGGAAUAUUGCACAAUGGGGGAAACCCUGAUGCAGCGACGCCGCGUGGAGGAAGAAGGUCUUCGGAUUGUAAACUCCUGUUGUUGAGGAAGAUAAUGACGGUACUCAACAAGGAAGUGACGGCUAACUACGUGCCAGCAGCCGCGGUAAAACGUAGGUCACAAGCGUUGUCCGGAAUUACUGGGUGUAAAGGGAGCGCAGGCGGGAGAACAAGUUGGAAGUGAAAUCCAUGGGCUCAACCCAUGAACUGCUUUCAAAACUGUUUUUCUUGAGUAGUGCAGAGGUAGGCGGAAUUCCCGGUGUAGCGGUGGAAUGCGUAGAUAUCGGGAGGAACACCAGUGGCGAAGGCGGCCUACUGGGCACCAACUGACGCUGAGGCUCGAAAGUGUGGGUAGCAAACAGGAUUAGAUACCCUGGUAGUCCACACCGUAAACGAUGAUUACUAGGUGUUGGAGGAUUGACCCCUUCAGUGCCGCAGUUAACACAAUAAGUAAUCCACCUGGGGAGUACGACCGCAAGGUUGAAACUCAAAGGAAUUGACGGGGGCCCGCACAAGCGGUGGAGUAUGUGGUUUAAUUCGAAGCAACGCGAAGAACCUUACCAGGGCUUGACAUCCCACUAACGAAGCAGAGAUGCAUUAGGUGCCCUUCGGGGAAAGUGGAGACAGGUGGUGCAUGGUUUUCGUCAGCUCGUGUCGUGAGAUGUUGGGUUAAGUCCCGCAACGAGCGCAACCCUUAUUGUUAGUUGCUACGCAAGAGCACUCUAGCGAGACUGCCGUUGACAAAACGGAGGAAGGUGGGGACGACGUCAAAUCAUCAUGCCCCUUAUGUCCUGGGCCACACACGUACUACAAUGGUGGUUAACAGAGGGAGGCAAUACCGCGAGGUGGAGCAAAUCCCUAAAAGCCAUCCCAGUUCGGAUUGCAGGCUGAAACCCGCCUGUAUGAAGUUGGAAUCGCUAGUAAUCGCGGAUCAGCAUGCCGCGGUGAAUACGUUCCCGGGCCUUGCACUAAGCGCCCGUCA
rnacentral:rRNA from 1 species